UACGAAGGGGGCGAGCGUUGUUCGGAAUUACUGGGCGUAAAGGGCUCGUAGGCGGCCAACUAAGUCAGACGUGAAAUCCCUCGGCUUAACCGGGGAACUGCAUCUGAUACUGGAUGGCUUGAGUUCGGGAGAGGGAUGCGGAAUUCCAGGUGUAGCGGUGAAAUGCGUAGAUAUCUGGAGGAACACCGGUGGCGAAGGCGGCAUCCUGGACCGACACUGACGCUGAGGAGCGAAAGCCAGGGGAGCAAACGGG
rnacentral:rRNA from 1 species